GUUAAACAAGUGCUUGAAGGCAGUAUGCUUGGUAAAAGUCAUCGCCAUUCUCUAAUCUUGAGUACCCAGGGACACGAUACACUGCGGAAGGCUGCAGGGACCUCUGCCCAGGAAAGCCAGGCUUGCAUGAAGGAAAUGAUUUCCUAUGAUUCUGCUUACUGCUUAAAAAAAUUAAUCAAGUUUUCUGCCUGACAAGAUCCAGUAUCUGCCGGAGGAGCCCCACCUUCUGCUACUAUUAUGUUCUUCAGAUGAGUAGAAGAGAGUGGGGAGGGAGAGAGCAGGAAGAAGAAAGGAAGAAUAAUGUCUUGAAAUUGAUGAUGCAUAUCAUAAAUUAUUACUCACCCCAUGUUCCCACCCUCGAGAGACCUCCAAACAAUCACCAUGCCACAGUGAACAUUCAGUAACAAAAAUUCAGCCAGGGUUUUCACCAGCAUGAAUGGCAGUGAUUCCAAUCAGGAAAACAGAAAGAGGAGAGUUCAGAGCCACCUAGAAUGGCUCUUGCAAGAUACGAAAUCAAGGCAGCAGCAACAGGGCUGAACAUUCCUCAUCCCUAACUCUCCCUUCACCAGUAGGAAACCCAGGAUAACUGCAAUCACCGCAGGCCCAUCUGGCCUGAAGUUCUACUACUAGUAGCCCUCCAUGGGACCUUCUUAAGGAAGCAUGUCAACUCAGGUAAGGGAUGUAAGGGGAUGGAUGACCCUUUGAGGCCAAAGUUGGAGCAAAAAACACCAGAUGUUCCUGUGCACUGCUCCUAAGAGAUGGUUCUGAAGACCAGUUCGGGGAGAGGUCAAAAUACUGGACAGAAUCUCAGCAACAUGGAACCUCAAACUAAGUGACAGUCACAGACAACUCUUCCCCAAAGAAAAUAAGCACAGACAUGGUUUGUGGUAAGCAGAAUUAUAAAGAUGAAUUCCCAUCUCCCUGUCAGAUUACCAGUAUGGUAAAUUACCAGAUUACCUGGUUAUUUAUUCAAACACUAAUACAGUUAUUGCCUUGAUGGAAACAUACAGAUACAAUUAAAAUCCCAAGUACCAAAUAAAUUGACCUUAAGACAAAGACUAAGUAAAUCACAUGAGCCCUCUACAAGCAGAGAGUUUUUCUCCAGCUGGUAGCAGAAGCCAGAGAUUUGAAGCAUAGGAAGUAUUCAACACAUUAUUGCUGGCCUGAAAAUGGAAGGGGCCACAUAACGAGGGAAACCGGUGGCCUCUAGAAGCAGGGAGCAGUCCCCUGCUGACAGACAGCAAGCCAAGACCUCAGUUCUACAAUUGCAAGACACUCAAUUCUGCUAAGGACAAAAAUGAGCUUGGAAGUGAACUCUGAGCUUCAGGUGAGAACACGGCCAAACAACACCUUGAUUUCAGCUUAAACAAAGAAUGCAGCCACUCCAUGCCAGAAUUCUGACCUGUAGAAAUUUGAGCUAAUAAAUAGAUGUUUUAAUAGCUUCAUCGAUACAUA
rnacentral:lncRNA from 1 species